GGAGAAUAAAGUAAUUAAUGCAAGUCAAAGAUAAACUCAAGGAUACAACUGAGCCUCAAGACAAGGAGAAGCACGGAGUUUGAGGCAGGAGGAGCAAAGAAGACCAAACUCUCUAACUCAUGAAGAUCUCAUCCCUCUAUUGCCUAAGGGCUGUUGAACACCUAUGUCAAGGAAGAGAUCGUGAUCGGUGUUGAAAGGAACAUAUGGAGGAAGAUGCUGUUCCUGACCUCAAGCAUUCCGACAGAUCCCCAAAUGAAUAUUUCCCAAGGACCAUUUAAUUGUAAGAAACAGAAGCAUACUGGAGAAAGCAGAAGUGAAGACCAGAUCCAGGGAGACUCCAGAGUCCAAGGGCAGGAAGAAAGGCCUCGCCUCACAGCUGAAAUGGACUCAGAACUAGGAAGACAUCAGAGCCCAUGGCCGCUUAUUUCUCCAACUCUCCCUCUUUCCAAAACCACAUCCUCUGUCAUCUUAAUGCUCUCUGUUUAUCAAAAACACAUGGCCCACAAUGAAUGCCCCUCCAUGGUGGCCUCAGUUGCUAUAUGACCGUAUAUGUCUAGAUUUUGUGGCCAUUAAUACAGUCUCUGGGUCAAACUCUUUGUUCAAGUAUCUAAUGCACUAUUGCUGGGGGAAUAUGUGAUAUUGAGAUCUGUCUCUUCCAUGUUAUGGAGGGUCAAAUUCUCCAAGAAGGCUGUAUGGAGGAGAAUAAAUGAUUGUCAUCACUAACA
rnacentral:lncRNA from 1 species